rnacentral:rRNA from 2 species
UAACGACUCUCGGCAACGGAUAUCUCGGCUCUCGCAUCGAUGAAGAACGUAGCGAAAUGCGAUACUUGGUGUGAAUUGCAGAAUCCCGUGAACCAUCGAGUCUUUGAACGCAAGUUGCGCCCGAAGCCUUCGGGCUAAGGGCACGUCUGCCUGGGUGUCACGC